GACGAACGCUGGCGGCGUGGACUUAGGCAUGCAAGUCGAACGGUAUCAUCCUUUCGGGGGUGAGAGAGUGGCGAACUGGUGAGUAACACGUAGGUUAUCUACCCUCAAGACGGGGACAACCCAGGGAAACUUGGGCUAAUACCGGAUGUGAGCAACUUUUAGUUGUUUGAAAGGUGGCGUAAGCUGUCGCUUGGGGAUGAGCCUGCGUCCUAUUAGUUAGUUGGUGAGGUAACGGCUCACCUAGGCAAUGAUAGGUAGGCGGCCUUAACGGGUGGUCGCCCACACUGGGAUUGAGAUACGGCCCAGACUCCUACGGGAGGCAGCAGUCGAGAAUACGUCUACGAAUGGUCGGAAGACUGAUAGUGCGACGCCGCGUGAACGAUGAAUCCCUUCGGGGUGUAAAGUUCUUUUAUAUGUGAGCAGUGCUUCUUAUAUUAACAGUAUGGGGAGAGAGAUAUUAGCAUAUGAAUAAGCAACGGCUAACUCCGUGCCAGCAGCCGCGGUAAACUCGU
rnacentral:rRNA from 1 species